UGAGUGAUGUCAGAUGCUGAAAAUGCAUGGUUUGAGACCUUAUUCUUAUUUUAAUGUAUGUGGUUUCAUUUCACAAGUGGAAUAAAAUGCAACAGGCUGUGUUUCUGAAUUAUCACACUUUUCUGACAAAAACAUCAGUGAGCCUUCAGUUUCAUACCUUAUAAGUGAGGCAUGAUAAAUCUAGAAAGGGCAUAUAUGAAUUUUGAAGAUGUGGAGUAUUUGACACAAUUUUUCAGAGCUUGAACUUUUUUUUUCUAAUUCCAAAGAUAAUGCAGACAAUGCAGCCACUUCUUUUUAUGGGACGCACAGACCAGGACAAUAGGAAAUCUAAAAAUGAUUAGUCCUUGCUCCAUUCAUGGAAAAUAGGAUGUUACCCAAUUAAUUGAAAUAACUCAUCUUUUUAUGCCACUUUUGCUAUCUGCAUCAUCCCCUCACUUAGAUUUCAUCUAAGACAUAUCAUGUGCUUUGUAAACAAAUAGCCUAGGGGCUUAAUGUCUUAUUAAAGCUAUAAUUGUUCAUAUGGUCCAAUAAAUAUCACAGUAAUUUAGUGAGACCAAAUAGUUACACAAAUGGAACAGUGGGAAAGGGCUAAUCAGAGAAAGUUUUUCAGAGGAGGUAAGUUUUGAGUCAAAAUUUAAAGACCUUUCUGAGGGUAUUUUAAUCAUACCCCAAAAUUUUGACAUAUGUGCACCUGUAAAAUUUAAGGAGAUAAAAGUAUUUGCAAAGGUUAAAUUAGAGUAUUAGAUUAUUGAUUUGAAACUUUCCUUUUAUAAUAUAAAUAUUAAUGUUAUAAGUUCCCCUAUAAAUGCUACUUUCACUAUAUCUCAGUUUUGGAAAUUUUUUAAAAUUUUAAAAAAUUUUGUAAUUUAUUUUUGUUCAGUUCAAAAAUUUUCUAAUUUCCUUUGAAUAUUCCUCUUUUAAUCAGAUUAUUUGUUUAAAAAAUCUCCAAGUGUUCAGAGAUUUUAUUUUUCUGUUAUUAAUUUCUAUUUUUAUGGAUAGAGAACAUUUUUGAUGAUUUCUAUUCUUUUAAAUUUAUUUUUAAAAAAACUUUCUAAUAUCAUUUUUAAUUUUUUUAAAUGAUUUUUAUUUUUUCCACUAUAGCUGGUUUACAGUGUUCUGUCAGUUUUCUGCAGUACAGCAAAGAGACCCAGUCACACAUACGUAUAUACAUUCUUUUUCUCACAUUAUCCUCCAUCAUGCUCCAUCAUAAGUGACUAGAUAUAGUUUCCAGAGCUAUACAGCAGGAUCUCAUUGCAUAUCCACUCCAAAGACAACAGUUCGCAUCUAUUAACCCCACACUCCCAGUCCAUCCCACUCCAUCCCCCUCCCCCUUGGCAACCACAAGUCUGUUCUCCAAGUCCAUAAGUUUCAUUUCUGUGGAAAGGUUCAUUUAUGCCAUAUAUUAGAUUCCAGAUAUAAGUGAUACCAUAUGGUAUUUGUCUUUCUGACUUACCUCACUUAGUAUGAGAGUCUCUAGUUGCAUUUAUGUUGCUGCAACUGGCAUUAUUUUGUUGGUUUUUAUGGCUGAGUAGUAUUCCAUUAUGUAUAUAUACCACAUCUUCUUAAUCCAUUCAUCUAUAGAUGGGCAUUUAGGUUGUUUCCAUGUCUUGGUCAUUGUGAAUAGUGCUGCAAUGAACAUACGGUACGGGUGCAUGUAUCUUUUUCAAGAAAAGUUUUGUCCAGAUAUAUGCCCAAGAGUGGGAUUGCUGUGUCAUAUGGUAGUUUUAUGUUUAGUUUUCUGAGGUACCACCAUACUGUUUUCCAUAGUAGUUGUACCAAUUUACAUUCCCACCAACAGUAAAGGAGGCACCCUUUUUUCCACACUCUCUCCAGCAUUUGUUAUUUGUUGAUUUGUUAGUGAUGGCCAUUCUGACAGGUGUGAGGUGGUACCUCAUAGUUUUUUGAUUUGCACUUCUCUAAUAAUCAGUGAUGUUGAGCAUUUUUUCAUGUGCCUCUUGGCCAUCUGUAUAUCUUCUUUGGAGAAAUGUCUUUUCAGUUCUUUUGCUCAUUUUUCAAUUGAGUCGUUGUUGGAUAAUUUUUCCGCUAUUGUUUACUGAGAGAGGAAUGUUGAGAUUUGCAAAUGCUAUUGUGGGUUUGUCUGUUUCUCCUUUCAGAUCUGUCAGUUUUUUGUAUAUUUUGAAUCUCUUUUGUUGGGUACAUACACAUUUAAAAUUGUUAUGCCUUCUUGCUUAAUUGAUAUUUUUAUCAGUAUAUAGGUUGCUCUUCAUUCCUGUUGAUUUUUUUUUUACUCUGAGGUCUACUUUGAUAAUAUAACCAUUCCAGCAUUAUUUUGAUUGGUGGUUUCAUAUUAUAUGAAUAUCUUCCUAUAAUAAAAAAACCUUUUAAGCUACUAUAUAAUUAUAUUUGAAGUGUGCUUCUUAUAGCUACCAAAUACUUGGGUCAUGCAGAUAUUUUCUCACUUUCUAUAGGUUUUUUUCAUUUUCUUCUCUUUUGGUGGUGGGCGUGGGAGGGCAGGGGGUGGAGAUACGGUGCAGCAUAUGGAAGUUCCAUGCUAGGGGUUGAUUGGAGCUACAUCUGCCAGCCUACACCACAGCCACAGCAAUGCCAGAUCCUUAACGCACUGAGUGAGGCCAGGGAUCAAACCCACAUCCUCACGGAUACUAGUCAGGUUCAUUUCUGCUGAGCCACAAUGGGAACUCCCUUUUUCAUUUUUUUGAUAGUGUCUUUUCCUGCACAAAAGUUUUAAAUUUUGAUGGAGCCCAGUAUAUCUGUUUUUUCUUUUGUUUCUUAUGCUUUUGGUGUCAUAUCUAAGCAUCCAUUGCUAAAGUCAAAAUAAUGAAACUUUCCCCUAUUUUUUCUUCUAAAAGUUUGGAGUUUUAGUGCUUAAAUUUAGGUUGUUGAUCCAAUUUGAAUUAAUUUUUAUAUAUGAUUUGAGGUAAGGUUCCACUUAGUUCUUUUAUAUGUUGAUAUUAGUUGUAAAAGCGUUAUUUGUUAAAGAAACUAUUCUUUCUCUCAUUGGAUGGUCUUGGCACUUUUGUCAAAACUCAAUUGACCGUAAAUGUAUGGGUUUAUUUCUGAACUCCUACUUCUAUUCCAUUUGUCUUUUCUUAUGCCAGUACCACGUUGUUUUGAUUAUUGUAGCUUUGUAAUAAGUUUUGAAUUGGGGAGCUGCGAUCUUAUACAUUUUUAUCAUUAGAUUGUCUUUGUUAUUCAGGUGCCCCUGAGAUUCCAUAUGGAUUUUAUAAUCAGUUUGUCAAUUUCUACUUAAAGUAAAACUAAGGUUUUGAUAGGAAUUGCAUUGAAUCAUUAGAUCAAUUUGGUGAAUAUUGACAUCUUAACAAUAUUAAGUUUUCCAAUCCAUGAACAUAGGCCUUUUUUUUGCUUAUUUAGGUUUCCUUUAUUUCAUUAAUGUUUUGUAGUUUUUGUAGUUUUUAAUGCACAGUCUUGCACCUCUUUGACUAAAUUUCUUCCUAAGUAUUUUAUUCUUUUUGAUGCUAUUGUAAGUGUCAUUGUUUUAUUUUCAUUCUCAUGUUCAUUUUUAGUUUAUAGAAAUACAGUUGAUUUUUGUGUGUUGACCUUGUAUCCUGAAACUGCCAAAUUCUUUUCUUUCUUUCUUUUUUUUUUAGAGCCUCACCCAUGGCAAAUGGAAGUUCCCGGGCUAGGGGUUGAAUCCAAGCUGCGUCUGCGAUCUACACCACAGCUCACGGCAAUGCUGAGUGGGGUCAGGGAUCGAACCUGCAUCCUCGAAGAUACUAGUCAGGUUUGUUACCACUGAGCCACAACAAGAACUGCCACAUUCUUUUUUACUAGUUCUGAUAGUUGUGUGAGUGCCUGUGUGUGUGUAUUCUUUAGAAUUUUCCUUCUAUAAGAUCUUGUUAUAUAUGAGUAAAGGUAAUUUUACUUCUUCCUUUUCAAUCUGGAUGCUUUUUUUCCUUGCUUAAUAUUAGCCAGCCUAGAACUUCCAACACAGUGUUGAAUAAAAGUAGUGAAAGUGGGAAUCCUUAUCUUAUUCUUGAUCAUAAGGGGAAAUCUUUCAGUCUUUCAUCAUUGAAUGUAAUGUUGGCUGUAGGUUUUGCAUAAAUAUCCUUUAUUGUGUUUUUCACUUCUGCCUUUAAGAUAUCAGGAUUACAGUUACUCCAUGUCCUUUCCAGAGCUUGUUAUUAUUACACUCUCUCAUUUUUUCCCUGCCAGUCUAGUUUAGUGGUGUUUUAUUGGAAUUUUAAGUUGCUGAUUUUCAGUGGUGACUAAUGAUAUUGAACACAUUUCCAUGUGCUUCUUGGCCAUAGAAUCUGUUUUUGAAGGGGUCUUUACAUUGAAAAUCAAUUUCAGAUAAUUCACCAUGUAAAUAUACAUUGAGUACAGUAGUAGUUAGGCCUUCUUAAUAUUUAGUUUGCUCCUCUAAAUUAAGGUGUUAUUGUCAAAUUGUUAGUAUUUUUGUGGGUCUAUUUUUAUAUUAAAGAUUUGAAAAAUUAAGUCCUAUUAUGUAAUUAUAUAUGAACAUUAAUAACUUCUGAACAUUUAAACAUUUUAAAGAAUAAGGAUGAGUUCCCUUGUGGCUCAGCAGGUUAAGGAACCAGUGUUAUCACUGCAGGUUACUGCAUUGUCAUUACAGGUUCUGGUUACUUCAGUGAUGCAGGUUUGAUCCCUGCCUGGGAACUUGCAUGCCAUAGGUGUGGCAAAAAAAAAGAACAAGGAGAAAAUAAUUUUCCUCUAUUGUUGAUAGGUAAAUAAUUUUGACUGUAUUUGGGCAUCUGUUAAAACUUUUUAAAGAAUUCACUUGAUACUACUUAUUAAGAAGUUAUGCCAAGUAGCAUACAUGUGCUUCUGAAUGAUAAAAAUGAAAAAGGUAUGCACGUUUUCUUGUCAGCAAAUGGGCUUCAUUGUGUUUGGCUAAUUAUCUAAGUAUCUCUGAAAAUGGAGUUGUCUCCAGCUGGCUGUAAUUAGGAUUGGAUUGUUUCAUGCAUCAGAGACAGUAAAGUUGGUUUAAUUCAUGAGUCCCACAGCUUUCUAGUUAUUCUUAUUUCUGCAACUUCAAAGUGCUUAUCUAUUUCUCACAAAAAUAUUUGAAUGAGCUUAGACAAAAAUGUAUAACCAAGUUGCCAUUAUUAUUAGCUGCUGUUUUUACUCUCAGAUAUUGAGGUAUAGGGAUGAAGGAUGGCUCAGAAACCUAGUAAUAGCCUAGAAAAUUGUCCUUUGAAAAGAAAUGCGUUGAAAUAAGUAUGUUAAAGGAGCCCAGGAGGUACAAUAAAAUGUGAUAGGAACACUCUGUAAAUCCCACAAUCUCUCUUAGUUUGGAAUAUCUGGGAAUGAUUGUCAACUCCACAGUUUUAUGACAUUUGAAAUUAUAUUUGUCAUUGUAAGAGCUUAGCAUUUGGGGAGUUCCCAUCAUGGCUCAGCGGUAAUGAACCUGAUUAGUAUCCAUGAGGAUGUGGAUUUGAUGUCUGCCCUUGCUCAGUGGGUUAAGGAUCCUGUGUUGCCGUGAGCUGUGAUGUAGGUCGCAGACAGGGCUCCAAUCUGGUGUUGCUGUGGCUGUGGUGUAGGCUGAAGGAUGUAGCUCCAAUUCGAGCCGUAGCCUGGGAACUUCCACAUGCUGCUAUGUAGCUGUAAAAAGACCCCCCCCCAAAAAAAAAAAAUUAGCAUUUGAAAAUAUGUCCUAUUUUACUUGAUCUCUUCUAAUGCCAUUUUUUGUUUGCCUACUCAUAAGUGUAUUUAGAAUAUCUAACGCUUACUAUUUGCUGUUUGUCUUUCAUGGUGCUAGUCUCUUCUUACAUUAUCUCUAAUCCUUACCAUAAUCUUGUGAACCCAAUUUACAGAUGAAACUAGGGCUCAGAAAUUUGUUUCUUGCGUAAGAUCAUAGACCACAGUAAGUGGUGAUUUGAAUUCCAGUUUGCCUAAUCCUAAAGCCUGUAGUUUUCCUACUAUACCAGUGGUUCCCACCCCAGUCUAAUUAAAAUGGAAUUUCUAGGAUUAGAUUUUAGUAUGUUUGAGCAUCUCCUCCAGAUUAGUAAUGUGCAUCUAGGGUUAGAACCCAUUGGAUAACACCCUAUGCUUACUAUUAUGAGACCAUAUUUUAAUAGAAGGGAAAGUAUAUUUUUUAAAAAAACCAUUUUUCCUUUAAAAGUGUGUACAAUAUUGUCCAUUUAUCUCUGCCAAAAUAUAUCUAUUUGAAAUUUUCAGUGCAAGGUGAUACACCAAGAACAUAUUGAAGCCUCCCUUUGCUACUUCUCAUUCAAAAUCAUCCUCCCCCAAAUAUAUAGUACCAAUUAAGCACAACUGAAAGGGAGGGGAAAAAAGAGCAAAAUUGGCCAAAACCCAUGAAAACCCCUUGAAAAUGGGAUUGAAAUACAGAUGAGAACCAUAAUCUAAAACAUGCACAGAGGUGGAGUGCAUGUGACUAUUGGGUGACUUUAGAUGCUUUAUGUCUAGCCUGCUGGACAGGCAAACAUGAAUCUGCCUCUCCCUGCCUUCAUUUCUCCUUGGUGUAUAUAAUGCAAAAACCAGGCAGUCAGGGUGCUUUAAAAGCCGAGGCAAUUCCCCAGUGUUGUCAAUAUCCAGAAAAGAUGGGGGUUCCCCUCCUCCAACACUUACUAUCCAUGUUCACUAGAAGUAGAAAAUUUUCCCCUUCUC
ensembl:lncRNA